CCCAUUCUAGGAAGCAAAAUAUAAAGAAUGGAAGUAAAGAAGAAUCAAUGAAACAAACAAAAAAUGAAAGAGAGCGCCCAUUCCAACAAGCCAAAAGUAGUUGCGUUGUAAAGAAGAUUCGAUCCAUCGCUGCAUGGAUGGUACAUACCGCCUUUUUCAUUAACAUCCUUCGACUUUUUGUUAUUUUGGAUGCGAUACUUAAUAUAUGAUGGUGAAAUAUUAUAAUAAUUAUAAUUGAAAAUAUAAUAAUAAAUAAAAUUGAGUAUCUUCUUCUUGGUUGAGGUAAGAUGUCUCAUUCUUUUUAAGGAAAUUCAAAUCCACCGCAG
rnacentral:lncRNA from 1 species